rnacentral:lncRNA from 1 species
AUGAGUGGAAAACACAUAUUUCAUGAUUUAAAAUAAAUUUGGGUGUCUAAAACAUUUAUUAAAAAUGAUAUUGCAACUAUUUGAAUAAAAUAAAAAUAUUCAAUAAAAUAUUCUAAUUUCUUGUAAAACAAUAUUUAUAGUCAUCGGUAAAUAAUUUUUGUAAUGUAAAAGCUAAAUAAAUUCAUACGUACUAUAAUACAAAUAACCGGAAUAUGAAAUUUACUUUACAGAGACUCAUGGGCCCACAAGGAACAAAAAUGCACAAAGGCAGUAAACCUACAGUUUUUGGAGUAGUAAAGCCGACUAUAAUCCUUGACGAUAUCUGCUAUCCACAGGCUACCUCGGGCUUGAAAUGGUUGAAAAAGAGGGUGGUGAGAUUAUAAAAUCCCAGUGAGUAAACAGAUACCAUCUAAACCAUCUAAAGUCGAGUAAAUGAAGACAAUUAAAAUAAGUCAUCAUACUGUAAUUUCAUUACCUUUCAACUCAUUUCAACCAAAUAAAAUCAAUUCAUAUAAAUCGAGUAAUCAACAUGGCUUAUGAAUUUC